AGUACCCUCAGUAGUGACCAGUAUAUUGAUCAAUUUGGGUGGUAGUUUACAAUAAACUAUCCAAAUAAACUGAUUAGGGAUUGGAAGAUCAAAUCGACCUUUAAUUCUCUUUGCAUAUUAAGCCUGAGUUUCUCGAGCUCCUCAAGGUCCUUGAUUAUUAUCAUACAAUGAUCGUGGACUGAUUGCCCAUCAUACAUCUUCAUGUUGAACAACCACUUGGAC
rnacentral:lncRNA from 1 species